UACGUAGGGAGCAAGCGUUGUUCGGAUUUACUGGGCGUAAAGGGCGCGUAGGCGGCGCGGUAAGUCACUUGUGAAAUCUCUGAGCUUAACUCAGAACGGCCAAGUGAUACUGCAGUGCUAGAGUGCAGAAGGGGCAAUCGGAAUUCUUGGUGUAGCGGUGAAAUGCGUAGAUAUCAGGAGGAACACCAAUUGCGAAGGCAGCUCGCUGGGACGUUACUGACGCUGAGACGCGAAAGCGUGGGGAGCAAACAGG
rnacentral:rRNA from 1 species